rnacentral:lncRNA from 1 species
CUUCAAAUAAUGCCGACAUCAAGCAAGACGGAAGACAAAAGAAGUUCGAUAAAUGACGACUCGAAGCAAGAACAGACGAGAAAUUAUAAAUUAUGCCGACGCCAAACGAGAUGGAAGACAAAGAAAGUUCGGUAAACAACCAUUUAAUACCAGAAUGGACAAGGUAAUAGACAAUUUCAUUUUCAUUUCAUUGGUGAAGUACACAUUACAAA